rnacentral:rRNA from 1 species
AAGCGUUGUUCGGAAUUAUUGGGCGUAAAGCGCGUGUAGGCGGCCAAGCAAGUCGGGUGUGAAAGCCCUCAGCUUAACUGAGGAAGUGCGCCCGAAACUACAUGGCUUGAGUACCGGAGAGGGUGGCGGAAUUCCCGGUGUAGAGGUGAAAUUCGUAGAUAUCGGGAGGAACACCAGUGGCGAAGGCGGCCACCUGGACGGCUACUGACGCUGAGACGCGAAAGCGUGGGGAGCAAACAGGAUUAGAUACCCUGGUAGUCCACGCUGUAAACGAUGAGCGCUAGGUGUUGCGGGUAUUGACCCCUGCAGUGCC